rnacentral:rRNA from 1 species
GCGCAGCAGUCGAGAAUCCUCCGCAAUGCUCGAAAGAGCGACGGGGGACUCCAAGUGCCUACGCUCAGCGUAGGCUGUUCCCGAGCCUAAAAAGCUCGGGGAGUAAGGGCUGGGUAAGACGGGUGCCAGCCGCCGCGGUAAUACCCGCAGCCCGAGUGGUGCCGCUAUUAUUGGGCCUAAAGCGUCCGUAGCCGGCUCGGUAAAUGCCUGGGUAAAAUCGUCUGGCCCAACCAGACGAAUUCCGGGUAGACUGCCGGGCUAGGGGACCCGGAGGAGGGAGAGGGGUACU